ACGGAAGGCAGCAGUGAGGAAUAUUGGUCAAUGGACGGAAGUCUGAACCAGCCAAGUCGCGUGCGGGAUGAAGGCCCUACGGGUCGUAAACCGCUUUUGUACGGGGAUAAAUUCACCCACGUGUUGGUGUUUGUAGGUACCGUAAGAAUAAGGAUCGGCUAACUCCGUGCCAGCAGCCGCGGUAAUACGGAGGAUCCGAGCGUUAUCCGGAUUUAUUGGGUUUAAAGGGUGCGCAGGCGGGCUGCUAAGUCUCCGGUGAAAGGUCAGGGCUCAACCUUGGCACUGCCGGAGAUACUGGAGGCCUUGAGAGUGGCGGAGGUAUCCGGAAUGUGUGGUGUAGCGGUGAAAUGCAUAGAUAUCACACAGAACACCGAUUGCGAAGGCAGGAAACCAUACCAUAUCUGACGCUCAGGCACGAAAGCGUGGGGAUCGAACAGGAUUAGAUACCCUGGUA
rnacentral:rRNA from 1 species